GCGGCAGGCUUAACACAUGCAAGUCGAGGGGUAUAGUUCUUCGGAGCUAGAGACCGGCGCACGGGUGCGUAACGCGUAUGCAAUCUACCUUUUACAGAGGGAUAGCCCAGAGAAAUUUGGAUUAAUACCUCAUAGUAUUAUGAAAUGGCAUCAUUUUAUAAUUAAAGUCACAACGGUAAAAGAUGAGCAUGCGUCCCAUUAGCUAGUUGGUAAGGUAACGGCUUACCAAGGCUACGAUGGGUAGGGGUCCUGAGAGGGAGAUCCCCCACACUGGUACUGAGACACGGACCAGACUCCUACGGGAGGCAGCAGUGAGGAAUAUUGGACAAUGGGCGCAAGCCUGAUCCAGCCAUGCCGCGUGCAGGAUGACGGUCCUAUGGAUUGUAAACUGCUUUUGUACGAGAAGAAACACUCCCACGUGUUGGAGCUUGACGGUAUCGUAAGAAUAAGGAUCGGCUAACUCCGUGCCAGCAGCCGCGGUAAUACGGAGGAUCCAAGCGUUAUCCGGAAUCAUUGGGUUUAAAGGGUCCGUAGGCGGUUUAAUAAGUCAGUGGUGAAAGCCCAUCGCUCAACGGUGGAACGGCCAUUGAUACUGUUAAACUUGAAUUAUUAGGAAGUAACUAGAAUAUGUAGUGUAGCGGUGAAAUGCUUAGAGAUUACAUGGAAUACCAAUUGCGAAGGCAGGUUACUACUAAUGGAUUGACGCUGAUGGACGAAAGCGUGGGUAGCGAACAGGAUUAGAUACCCUGGUAGUCCACGCCGUAAACGAUGGAUACUAGCUGUUGGAAGCAAUUUCAGUGGCUAAGCGAAAGUGAUAAGUAUCCCACCUGGGGAGUACGUUCGCAAGAAUGAAACUCAAAGGAAUUGACGGGGGCCCGCACAAGCGGUGGAGCAUGUGGUUUAAUUCGAU
rnacentral:rRNA from 1 species